rnacentral:rRNA from 1 species
UACGGGGGGGGCAAGCGUUGUUCGGAAUUACUGGGCGUAAAGGGCGCGUAGGCGGCCUUCUAAGUCGGACGUGAAAUCCCUCGGCUUAACCGAGGAACUGCGUCCGAUACUGAAAGGCUUGAAUCCGGGAGAGGGAUGUGGAAUUCCAGGUGUAGCGGUGAAAUGCGUAGAUAUCUGGAGGAAUACCGGUGGCGAAGGCGGCAUCCUGGACCGGCAUUGACGCUGAGGAGCGAAAGCUAGGGGAGCAAACGGG